CAGAGUUCAGUUCUUUACUUCUUUCUUUAUAGAUUUUGCACGGGCCCGCUCGCAUGUCGUAGCCGGUCCUCAUAUUGUAUCUUCAAUUAUUGCAACGAUCAUAAGGCUAUAAGCGGUCUCUCCAAAGUAAACUUUUAAUCUCUUCGGUAUGAGAGCCAAGUGGCGUAAGAAGCGCAUGCGAAGGCUAAAGCGUAAACGCAGGAAGAUGCGUGCGAGGUCCAAAUAAUCUGGGUGCAUGGGUGCUGUAGAAGACUUAACAUCUAAAACUCACUUGUGUAUCAAAUAAAAAAAAUGCAAAAAGAAUA